GGGCUUCAGGUCCAAGUGCACAAUGCUUUGCGAGUGGAGGAAGAGCAGGCCGUUCACAACAUCUAAGUCAUCACGUCGUCUUUUGGAAGGCAGUCUUAAAAAGGCCCAGAAGCUCAACAGCAGUCUCAACAGCACAUAAAACCCCACCGACGGCGGCCGCGCUUGCGCCUGCGCACUCUUGACGGCCGCCCGAGUCCUGGCAGGGGACCGCCAGGUUAAGAGAUCUCGGGUGACAGCGGAUUCGAGAGGUUACAGUGGAUUCCAGAGGUUACAGUGCGAAGAGCGCGAGUAUUGCAACCGUGCAAGUGUGGUAUUGCUGGUUACAACCGUGGAUUUCAUCGUCGAAAUUUCACUUUUGCCUUUUUUAAGACUAAAAAGUUAAGCUGUAGAUGAAUAUAUACGCUUUACUAAAAAUUCCCAUACAAAGAUUAUAGACUCAAACUUGAAAAACAUAUCAAUUUUUUUUUACUUCAGUGGGAUUAUACUAUUGACAUUCUAAAAUUUGAAUUUUAUACUUAGCAAUAUAACAUAGACUUGUUUCUAUGUCAGUAAAGUACAUAUACAGCUACUUUAAUUUUUAUAUGGUCCAUAUAAUAUGGUCGGGGCAGAUCUUAGUUUGUGGAUUGCAUGGAGCACGUCCCUGGAUGUGACCAGCGCACACUAUCUGUUUCCAUGCGGGGAGGUUGGGGUUGGUUGCUUCCACUUUGCCCUGAUCGCUUGGGUUUUGUAUUUUGACUCUGGAGAUACGUAAAUAAAAUUUUACUUGUCUAAAUACAGCUAAACUUCACAAAAGGUUUUAAGACAUACAAAUGUGUUUCAAACUGGUUUUGGAAACCUUUGAAUUUAAUGAUAUCUUGCAAGUUUCUCAUGUUUUUAAGAACAUAAAAUGCUUAUAGAUAUUUGAAAUUUUGAAAUUUGAUCUGAUUAAAAUGCGGCUGUCUUGAAUGAUUUUGUCCAAUUUAUGAUCACAUACUGGCAUCUUCCCUCAAGCCAGACUAUGUUUGCUUGCUUGUUUUUGUUUUGUUUUGUUUGUUUUUUGAGACAGCGUCUCACACUCUGUCUUCUAGGCUGGAGUGGAGUGGCGCGAUCACAGUUCACUACAGCCUCCACCUCCCUGUGCUCAAGCUUUCCUCCCACUUCGGCCUCCCAAAGUGCUGAGAUUACAGGCAUGAGCUACCACGCCCCGCCUCAGAAAAUGCUUUCUAACUUUGUAUUUAAUAUUUACUAAAUUCUGUAUUUUUCACUGAUAAAUGUGUCAAAAUAAUAGGAUGUUUGAAUAAAGGAUCCAAAAGUAAUAUACUCUAUUCAAUUCACCAUCUUUACUCAAUUUUAAGCAAAAUUUUCUCAUGCGUAUCAUUAUGGACUCGU
rnacentral:lncRNA from 10 species